rnacentral:rRNA from 1 species
UGUCGUCAGCUCGUGUUGUGAAAUGUUGGGUUAAGUCCCGCAACGAGCGCAACCCUUAUCCUUUGUUGCCAGCGGUCCGGCCGGGAACUCAAAGGAGACUGCCAGUGAUAAACUGGAGGAAGGUGGGGAUGACGUCAAGUCAUCAUGGCCCUUACGACCAGGGCUACACACGUGCUACAAUGGCGCAUACAAAGAGAAGCGACCUCGCGAGAGCAAGCGGACCUCAUAAAGUGCGUCGUAGUCCGGAUUGGAGUCUGCAACUCGACUCCAUGAAGUCGGAAUCGCUAGUAAUCGUGGAUCAGAAUGCCACGGUGAAUACGUUCCCGGGCCUUGUACACACCGCCCGUCACACCAUGGGAGUGGGUUGCAAAAGAAGUAGGUAGCUU